GCGCGGCGGCCGGAGGGGCGGGCGGCCGGAGGCGGCCCGGGCUUGGGAGGCAGCUGCCUCCCUGGGCCUGCCCGGGCGGCCGCCUCCGCGAUGCCGCUGCUCGUGGAGGGGCGGCGAGUGCGGCUCCCGCAGUCCGCCGGGGACCUGGUCCGAGCCCACCCGCCUCUGGAGGAAAGAGCCAGACUUCUCAGAGGUCAGUCUGUUCAACACAUGGGACCCCAGGGCCUUCUGUAUGUUCAGCAAAGAGAGCUUGCAGUGACCUCCCCAAAGGAUGGCUCCAUCUCCAUUCUGGGUUCUGAUGAUGCCACCACUUGUCACAUUGUGGUCCUGAGGCACACAGGUAAUGGGGCUACCUGCCUGACACACUGUGACGGAAGCGACACCAAAGCUGAGGUCCCCUUGAUCAUGAACUCCAUAAAAUCCUUUUCCGACCACGCUCAAUGUGGAAGGCUGGAAUUGCACCUCGUGGGAGGCUUCAGUGACGACAGGCAGUUGUCACAAAAACUUACUCAUCAGCUUCUCAGUGAAUUUGAUGGACAAGAAGAGGACAUUCACUUAGUGACAUUAUGUGUGACAGAAUUAAAUGACCGAGAAGAAAAUGAAAACCACUUUCCAGUAAUUUAUGGCAUAGCUGUUAACGUUAAAACUGCGGAGAUCUACAGAGCCGCCUUUCAAGACCGAGGUCCGGAGGAGGAGCUGCGUGCUGCACGGGCUUUAACAGGAGGACCGAUGAUUAGCAUCUACGAUGCAAAGACAGAACAACUUCGCAUAGAACCGUUUUCCUGGGUGCCAUUUCCACAUGUGGAUUUCUGGUUGCAGCAAGAUGAUAAGCAAAUACUAGAGAACUUUUCCACUUCACCUUUGGCCGAGCCCCCCCACUUUGUUGAACAUAUUAGAUCUACCUUGAUGUUUUUAAAAAAAUACCCAUCUCCAACUAACACACUGUUUCCUGGAAAUAAAGCUCUACUCUACAAAAAAAAUGAAGAUGGUGGCUUAUGGGAAAAGAUCUCUUCUCCAGGAAGCUAAAAAUAGGAAUUAUCAGAUAAAGCAACUUUUUGGCAUGACAAAGACCACUGGUAGGGACUGGAAGGAAUAUGGAUUUGGAACCUACAUCCCUUGAGUCUUAGGUCUCCUUCCUUACUUGGUGUCUUUCAGUAGUAACGGGCAGAGGAGAACCUACCUGUCUCACUGGUCUAUAAGCAACUAUUUUCAAAUACUUAG